GAGAAUUAGCCAACUGAGUCUAAAUAAAAUUUGUAGAUCUUGUUUUUACCUAUGCAUGGAAAAAAAUAACGUCAAAAACGGAGCUCGUAUGAGAAAAUUAUGAAUUUUUAAAAAUCGGUUGAUUUCCACCCUUUGUGCGAUGCCACGUGUCAGCACUAGGCUGUGCCUGGUUGUGUCCAACUGGAUCACGACGUGAGCAUCAAGAAACUCACGACGUGAGUGACCCUCCAGCCCCCUAUAAAUAAGAGGUGAAGCCCUUUUCAUUCCUCACACCUCCCAUAACUUCCCUCUCUCUCUCUCUCUAGAACUUCUCUCUAGCCCCGAAACCCCCCGAAAAGCCUAGGGAACCUCCCUAACACGAGGCGGAAGCCCUGGAAUGCCUAAAGGCUUUGAGAAGAAGAGCCUUUCAGCUCUGGAACGCUACUCUAGCGGUGCCCGGUUUUGAGAAAAACUCAUUGUAAGUGAGCUACGCCUAACCUAUCUUUAGUAUAGCUUAUGAUUCAAUAUAGUAAUGUUAUUAGGACCUUAUAAUAAAUACUUGGGCUAUUAUUAUGGGUUAUAUACGUAUUGUUUAAUGCUUAUAUAAUAGUAAUAAUAUCUAGACUAUUAAUUAGUCUCGGUAAAUAAUAGACUAAACUCUAGUGGUAAUGAUACUAGGUUUUGUCAAAGGAAAAUUGUGUUAAGAGUAACGAAGCGUUGUAUGAGUUCGGAAUCACCACCUUAACAAGUGAGUGCAUGGUCCCUUUCAUCUUACAUAUAGAUAUGAAUUAUUUUAUAUAAACUACGUGCUAUGUGUGCAUAUUAUCUGUAUACUUGCUAUCUAUGUUGGAUGAACGAUUUUAUACAAGUUUUAUAUGAUUUAAACUGUAUAUGUAUUUAUAUCUACAUAAUAUGUUGGGUAAAACAUGAGUAGAUGAAAUAUGAGUUGGAUGAUGAGUUGAGAGGUGAUAUAGACUAUGAGGUAAGGGUGAGAGGUGGACGAUGUGAGAAUCCUUGUUCCUAAAUGCUAGCCCCGUCGUCUAGCAGAGUAUGGAUGACAACCACGGACUAUUCUAGACAGUCCAGUGGAACACUAGCAGGCCCGCAACCUGUAGGUGUUGUGAACAAUGUGUUCACCGGUGUACUCUAAAAAACCCAUUGACAUGUAUUGCGAGUGGACUCCUGAAAAUGAUACUGUUAAUAAACGAGAUAACCUUGGCAGAUGCGCCUAAAGGGCUCUACCGGCAGAAGUGCCUAAUAGAGAACCUCAUAACCCGGGCAGAUGCGCCUAAAGGACAAUACCGAUAGAUGCGCCUCAUAGAGAAUGUCACAAUCCUGGCAGCUGCUCCUAAGUGAUAGAACUAGCAGAUGUACUUGACAGUUGUGUCAUAGGCAACGAUGGACUUCGUGUCUAUUCCUUAGGACAAUCCUUAGGAAUGAAUGAAUGAAGAAUAGCUGACUCUUAGGGUAGAUCCUUAAGAUUAAAGAAGAGAAUGGGGAUUGGUAAUUGGGUUAAUUGUUUGAUGAUUAGACAUAAUAAUUAUAUUAUUGUGGGUUGAAAACCCUAUGUACUCGACAAGUUUUCCAACCUGACCCACUCAGUUUAUUUAUAUCAUAGGUGUUGAUAUGAAGUCACAUUACACUUAGAGAUUAAGGAGAUAUAAAUCACUAGUGAUAAUGAAUGUAAGUUCUGUUUAUGCUUAUGUUUAUGUAUUGACGAUGACAUCCCAAAUGUUUUAAAAUGAAUAAAUAUACAUUUCUUCGAAAAUUCCCUGAUAACGUAUUUAUCAUGUUUUACUAGGAACAAAUUCCGCAUAUUUUUAUUAAAAGAGGUACUCAGAUUUUUAUAAAGCAUAAACAAAAACCGGUCUUUUCUGGCCGUGAAAAUGGGGAUAUCACAGCUGGUAUUAGAGCAUUAGUUUAAGCGAACUAGGAAUAUGGAUUUAUUUCUAGACUUAAACUUAGAAUGCUAAGCAAUGAUGGUGAGGAGUUUUUCUAAUAAAUUUUAGGAAAGUACAACUAAAUAGACACGAGCACUAGCUCAUUUAGGGAAGAUGCCUAAAUUGCUUUAUGUGCUAAAUGAUUGUGAUGUUUUAUGAUGUUAUCGUUUGAUCGGAUCUAUGGUCUGUUGCCGACCGGAUCUGGAAAUUUUAUGUGUUCAGAUUUCUAAACGUUAGAUUACGGUAUUAGAAAUGACAUGUAACUUUUCAGAUUAAUAAGGAGGAUUACACGUCUAAAUCUUCUUUAUCUAUAUUCUCGUCUCGAUGCACUGAAUGCAUGCUUCCGUGAAAAUAACAUCAUGGUGAAGACUCAUAGAGAAUUGAGUAAAUAAAGAAAAUGAAAAGUCUUAUGAUAUUGAAUGACACCUAUCAGAAGAUAUCGUAAGAGUGGUAUCUUGCCUUUAGAAUACGCCAGGCAGUAUGUUUAGAGGAGUACGGUACGUCCGAAGUACACCUUCUAUUGGCGGGAUGAUGGAACGAUUAGUGUAAUUCCCGAAGUUGUCCCAUCGUAUGGCAUUUCCACCACCAAUCGAGUUGAUGUAGAAUUGAUGAUUGAAGAUACGCAUGGAAGAAGUCCUAGUACAGUCUAGGGAAAAUUUUAUGAUUGUUUGGAUACAUUUAUAUGUGUUAAAAUUGUUUUUUUAUGAUAAUGACUUGGAAAACUACGAGACAAUACUUGGGACGAGUAUGAAUAGGUGUGAAUGGUAGUAGAGGCCUAUACUACCGGAAGCACAUGACUCACACUUGGAUCAGGGAAAGUCACAAGGUUACCAAGAAGCUAGUAAUUGAUUCUGUUUUAUUCAAGUAUGUCGUUACCAUCGUUUCGGUAAUGACUAAGAAGAUGAUUGUUAUUUCGACCCUAGUGGUCAUACCAAAUUGAGCCUGACUACGACGAGUAUGUUACGUGGUUCUGAGAACCAUGUUCAAUGUAGCACCUGACUUAAGCCAGAAGAAUUAAUCAAAGCGAUCAGUAGAGGUAUUGCGACGGUUGUUUGUAGCUAGAGAUGUUACCUUUUAAGAUGUGAUUAGAGCAUGAAGAAAUGUAUAGUCUGUUCUGGAAGACUCUAAGAGACCUGAGUCUAAGCGUGGGAACAUACGAUGAUAGGUCAUUAAAAUAUUACACACCGGUCCAUUGUGGUAAUAAAAUAACUUAUCAUAAGUUUGUUAAAAAGAAGAAGCAGUCUCCAGUAAGGAUCGAGAUUGUGACUUGAGGGUCAUCAUUUGGAGUCUAUCAUGAGAUAGGGAACAAGUGCAAGAUCGAGCACCGCCUGCAGUCAGGAAGUCUUAGAGUUAGAUACUCGUUCGAAGAAACAUCAAAGUUACGAUUAUUACUUAGGAUGAAGAGAUAAUGUAUGGAAUCAUUAUACAAGCCCUGUUUCGUUGAUGAUUCCGAGACGUAAUCAUCCUAAGGGGGAGAUAAUUGUAACGCCCGCAGAUCCGGACUAGUCAAUUUAGAGACAAUGAGCGUCAAAAAUGAUUUUUUUUAUGAAAUAUUAAUUAGAAGGAUUAAUAUUAACCAAAUUUUAGUAUAUGUUACAAGGGUUCCGUACAUAUAAAGAACGUCGGAAUCCGAGUUAUAACGAAGAAGUUAUGGCCCGUCGAAGUUUUACGACAAAAUCGACACGGCACUGGAGACGUAAAUAGUGAAUUUAUGAUAGAUGAUUUUUUAGCCUUAGUAAUCUAAACAAAACUUUUAGUAUACCUUAAACCGAGAGCGUCCAUAAAAAGAACGCCCAAAUAUGACUUCGUAUGAGGAAGUUAUGAUUUUUUCUAAGAUUUGGCAUAGCAGCGCAAGGCCCGAAACUUGAAUUUUAGUUCGAGCGGUUUUUGGCCUACGCGGCCUAAUUGAGAGUUGAAUAUAUCAUUAAUAGGAACUCAACGAUAAAAAGACAGACAAAAACAGAGUCCGUAUGAAGGAGUUACGAAUUCUUCGCGGUCAUUUAACAGUCUAAUAUCCUCCUACUGUUAAAUUCAAGAUUGGUCGAGAGUUAGCCGACGGAGUUUAAAUUAAAGUUGUAGAUCUUGUUUUUACAUAUGCGUGGAAAAAAAGAACGUUGAAAACGGAGCUCGUAUGCAAAAGUUAUGAAUUUUUGAAAAUCGGCUGAUUUCCACCCUGUGUGCGAUGCCACGUGUCAGCACCAGGUUGUGCCUGGUUGUCUCCAGCUGGCUCACGACGUGAGCAUCAAGAAACUCACGACGUGAGUGACCCUCCAGCCCCCUAUAAAUAAGAGGUGAAGCCCUCUUCAUUCCUCACACCUCCC
rnacentral:lncRNA from 1 species